UUGGAGGACUAAGAAAGUAGAACCAGUGAAGUCAGUUGGUUCUGCUGAUACUCUUCUCCUAAACUAAAUGGUAGAAGAACAAGGUCUUGUCUAUGAGAUACCACUAGAUCUUACUACUAUCUGCCAACAAUG
ensembl:scaRNA